GAUGAACGCUAGCGGCAGGCCUAAUACAUGCAAGUCGAACGGUGUCUUCGGACAUAGUGGCGCACGGGUGCGUAACACGUAUGCAACCUACCUUACAUUGGGGGAUAGCCUUUCGAAAGGGAGAUUAAUACCGCAUAAGACAGUAGCUGGGCAUCCAGCAGCUGUUAAAGAUUUAUCGAUGUAAGCUGGGCAUGCGUCCAAUUAGCUAGUUGGUGAGGUAACGGCUCACCAAGGCAAUGAUUGGUAGGGGAACUGAGAGGUCAAUCCCCCGCACUGGCACGGAGAUACGGGCCAGACUCCUACGGGAGGCAGCAGUAGGGAAGAUUGGGCAAUGGACGCAAGUCUGACCCAGCCAUGCCGCGUGCAGGAUGAAGGCGUUAUGCGUUGUAAACUGCUUUUAUACAGGAAGAAACGACUCUUGCGAGAGGCAUUGACGGUACUGUAUGAAUAAGCACCGGCUAACUCCGUGCCAGCAGCCGCGGUAACAC
rnacentral:rRNA from 1 species